GCGUCGGCUGGGCAUUGGCGAGCCCCGGUGGCUGUAACCCACCCGUCCCAACGGACUAUGGCGGUUCAACUCCGUCUCGACGCAC
rnacentral:tRNA from 3 species